UUAACAGGAUGAAUGUCUCUUCAAGGAUAAAUGAAAACCACAGAAUGUGGCAUUCAGACAAAGCUAGUUCUGUCCUCACUCUGGAAAUAGAAGAUAUUUUGGAGAAAUAUUACUUCAUAAUAUUAUUUUGUGGAAGAAAACUAUAGCCUAUUUGUAUACUUUGUUGCAUUGUAAACUAUAAUUCUCUAACAGUUUGCUACUAAAGCCAUGUAAAAUUUUCCUGUCUUUCGCAUCCAAAAGAACUGCCACAAUCCACAGUGGCUUCAAUAUCCAAAAAAUUUCUCACACCAUUAGUGAUAAUGGCACACAUUAUAGUAUUUAAAAAGAAUGAUGUACAAUAUACUCAUAGAAUGAAAAAUUAAAUUGUAUGCAUCUCACAGAAAUAAAUUAUAUAUGCCUAUAUGUGAGUAAUGCAUUAAAAAAUAUAUAUAUCAAAUGUUAAUCAUGGUUAUCUCUGACAGUUAGCAAAGGUGGUAGGAUACAAUUAUAGAUAAUUAUCUUCACUUUUUACUCUUCAUUUCUGUGAUAUUUGAUUUCUUCCAAGUAUACAUUCCUUAAAAAUUCAGGAAAAAUCACAGGAAAAAAAAAAAGUAACAUUGCAUUUUGCUUAUAGUGGAAAAUUUGAAAAGCCAAAAGUUUUUGAGAGGAAAAUAAAAACCUUCAUCAAAUUAGAAAGAUAAGUUAUAUAAAAAUAACUAGAAUUCAAGAUAGAUUCAUACAUUUAUUAGUAUUCCAGUGAUAUGCUUUGGCAUCAGAAACUAUUUCUAAUUAUAAGAGUAGAAAUAACCUUAUACCACCUUGGAAUCAGGGUGCCAGAGACAAAAUUCUACUUCAACAUUAUUUGUUGUUCUUAUGAAUGAAUAUAAGGGUACAGAGUAAGGAUAGAAAAGUCAAAUGCUCAGGUAAGUUUCCAUUUAUGCUACUGGUAAACUACUUGUUUGUCUUUAAGGAGAACCCCACUAUGAAGUCAGGUGGGGAGACAGCACCCCCAUUCUCUGUAAAUGACAGAAAUAUCUAAUUUCUGAGAAUCUCUGUGUUGUGGAGCACUGUCAUCUUCAUGGACACAGGCAGGAUGGCAGUAAGGACAUGAUACUUAGAGCUGCAACAGUCACCUUGAAACUGUGAGUGAAGCGCCAAGACAGUUUCAAAGACCAAAGUCCUAACGGUAUUGAGCUGCUAAUCCUAUGCCAACAGUCAGCUCAAUUUCUUAACCCUCAUGGCAAACCUCGCAGGAACUUACCAGGGCUGUUUCUUGGUCUGGUCCUGUUCCCACAACAUUCCCUGCCAAAAUCAAGCCAAAAUGAUACCAGAAUCCAUCUAUGAGAUGAAGUAAGAGUGUCUUUCAGUUCACUUUCAGACAGCUGGAUUCCAGCUUUCAUGGCUGGGCUCAAGGUGGUAUUCCACAAUUUUUUCCGGUUUCUACAGCAAAUUUCUAACAUUAGCUGCAUAUCUAUGAAAUCAUCAGAUCAUUGGAAGGUAAUUACUUUCGAUAUGGCAGAUGGAGUUCUAUUAGGUUUUCAUUGAGGCAUCAAUAAAUAAUGACACAAUUUCUCAAUAAAAAGAAUUCAUUUGGUAAA